UACAGAGGGUGCAAGCGUUAAUCGGAAUUACUGGGCGUAAAGCGUGCGUAGUCGGUUAUCUAAGUCGGGUGUGAAAUCCCCGGGCUCAACCUGGGAAUUGCAUUCGAUACUGGAUAGCUAGAGUUCGGCAGAGGGAAGUGGAAUUUCAGGUGUAGCGGUGAAAUGCGUAGAUAUCUGAAGGAACAUCAGUGGCGAAAGCGGCUCUCUGGUACGUGACUGACGCUGAGACGCGAAAGCGUGGGGAGCAAACAGG
rnacentral:rRNA from 1 species